rnacentral:misc_RNA from 1 species
AAGUCGUAACAAGGUUUCCGUAGGUGAACCUGCGGAAGGAUCAUUACCGAGUGCGGGCCCUCUGGGUCCAACCUCCCAUCCGUGUCUAUUAUACCCUGUUGCUUCGGCGGGCCCGCCGUCGCUCCAUCCCCGGGAUCUUUUCCGGGGACGGGGCGCGGCCGCCGGGGGGCGAUCCCGCCCCCGGGCCCGUGCCCGCCGGGGACACCAACACUGAACACUGUCUGAAGGUUGCAGUCUGAGUUUUCAUAAAAGAAAAAUCGUUAAAACUUUCAACAACGGAUCUCUUGGUUCCG